ensembl:lncRNA
CAGGGCUCCGCCUGCGCACAGGCUCCAGAACCUGUUGCCAUGGCAACAUGGGGUCCAGGCCUGCCCUGCUCUGGAGAGGAGCCUGAAGCUGAGGACUUCCUUGGGUGAGCAGUGACAUGAAACGCUGGGCAGCUGUGAUCCAGGCCACACAGGGAGGCAUCAUGUAUCAGGGUGAUGGCAAGAGUGUGGGCUUUGGCAUGACAGCCCUGGAUUCAAAUUCUGGCACGGAGACUUCCUUGCUGGGUGACACCAGGCAAGCUAGUGUCUCUCUGACCUUCAGUGCCCCCUCCUCCAGUUUAGGUAAAGCUCUGGCUCAGGGCGAAUGCUCCGGAAGCGAGGCUGUCUCAGUGAUCAGGGCGCUCCAGGACCAGCAGGGACGACUGAUGACACCGCUGGACUACCUGCCCCUGCUCUCCACACUGAAGAUGUAUUACCUCAUUUGACUCUAUAAGCUCAUCAAAGCCCUGUGUAAGAAGUGCCGUUGCAGUCAUCGCCAUCACCUGCCCAGCAUGGUGGUUUAAGCAAAUGUGUGAGCGCAGCAGCUGGAUGACCUGAAUUCAAGUUCUGACUCCACUGAUAUGUGACCUUGAACUCUGUGGUUAUGUGACCUUGCUUCACUGACUCCAUGUAUAAGACAGGAGCAAACAUAUCUCCCUGGAGCAUUGAAGAUCAUAUGCAGAGUAAGAAGAACACUACCAGCCAUAAGGACACCUCAGUCAUAACAGUAGCUAUUGUCAGUUAUAAAGAAGGAUACAGAAGGUCAAGGUCAAGUUCACCUAGCUGUCCAGUGCAGCAGGGUUUUAUCUCUAAGUCUGCAGACUUCAAAUCUUGGGUUUGGGGAUUAUCUUCUCAUCUUCCCCACCCUGUCCCCCUUGUCACCCUGUCUCCUAAUUAAUCUGUUCACGCCUCUGUCUGUCCUUCCACAUGGGGUUCUUCCAGAGCAGUAUCAGCACCAAGCCGUCUCCCCAGUGGCCGGACGGUGCCUGGCCACCGGGGGACUGUGUUGAAGGAAUGAUGCAUUCCAUGUACCAGGCAUCCUGCUCUGUGCUUCCACAUGGAUUAUUUUAUCUGUGCCUCCAGACCACUCUAUGAAGUAGAUAACAAUUCUUCUACAACUGUCUUGAGCUCCAAUAAAGCACUUAUCGGUCUGGA